GAUAUAUUCUGUUGCAUCAAUGACAAUAGCUCUAGUUUUUCCAUCCCGUUCCAAGCAAAAUAUGGUAUUUCCAGAAACUUUUGUGAUGUAUAUUGGAACAUCAAGAGUUCUGAUUAUGCCACUAUCNCCCAUUAGGAAGGCAGUAUUUUAUGUGAUUUAAAGUUGUAUAAAUGAAGACACCAUUAUCAUCCCAGGCUCCACUCUUUACACGGAUUGUCUCAUGAAGAGUGCACUGGUGCACAAGCUUCUUGCUAGCAAUGAUGAUGGCAUGUUUGCUGAGCAAGGCAAUACUCUCCAUGUCNNNNNNNUUGACAAAAGGUGUUUGAAGAUCCCCAAGAACGAGCCUUUGCUGGAGAUCAAAUAUGACUA
rnacentral:misc_RNA from 1 species